CUUCCUCUGUUUUUCUCUAACUUCCUCCUCUGUUCUCUUCGUUCUGUUAUAAAUUUCCAUCUUUAUCUAUUCUUUAUCUCCAAUCCUUAUUAUAAAUUCCCAACUUUUGGAUUUGUUCUAAUAUCGAUAACAUAUCUACUCUUUCUGAUACUUUACAUAGAGGAUUGGGUUACUUGAAGUUCUUUGCUUCUUGAUUAAAAAAGGGACAAUCGAAGUACCAAUAGUUGCAAUAAAAUCAGAUUAAUGGAUAGUCGACAAUCCAAAAAGAGCCCUCGCUCGGUGACAGAAGCUCAUGAUGAGAAUAUCAAACACCAUAAAAUAGACGAUUCUUUGGGAAUGACUUUGAGAGAAGAAAAAUUAUUGCAACGAUGCCUGAAAAUUCGCGAGGCAACAACUAAACGCCUUCUUGCAACUACAAAUAAUAUCAAUCGCAUUGGAACAACAUCUCAUAUAGAUGAUAGUGUUAAUAUUGGACUGUCUUGUUCCUCUUCACAAACAGUUACUGAGUGUAGAGCUUUUUCGUCAUCCGAUGUCUUUGACAAGGAAAAAGAUAUUAUCUAGCCUUUCAUGUUUUUGAAAAAGGUAAAACCACAAAAAUGUAGUAUCUAUUAAGGUUCAACAUCGGGUACCACAAAUGAUUCAUGUACUCCAACCUCCAAAACAGUUACAACUAAAGGUUAGUUUAACGAUCAUUCUUUAUUGAUUUUA